UGUGAUCUAGUUCUGUUAUCCUUUUCAAAGUACCUGCAAGAGGCACCGUUUGGCGUUGAAGGCUUAUAAAAGUUUGAUUCUUGCUUAGUUGUUUACUUUUCGUAUAUUUUACAUGUGAAUUCUUGUGAACACAAUAAGUCUUAAAGAGGUUGGUGUAGUCGCAGUAUUUAAUAUUAUAGAUCAAGGAGAUUUGGAAUUAGUAAUAUGAUAUGUAGUCGGCUAAAGUCGUGCCAGCUGCCGCGGUUAUACGUAGGAUUGAAGUAAACAUUAUUAGUGUAGAAGUUAAUAGUUUUAAAGUAGUGUAGGAGUGGAUUUUUAAGGUAGAAUUUUAAAUCUAUGUGAAUCUUUUUUAAUGAUAUGAAGCUUUGAAAUUUGAAUUAUAAACUAGGAUUAGAUACCCUAUUAUUUUAAAUGUAAAGGUUUUGCUUGAGUAGUAGUAGUUAAGUUCUUGAAACUCAAAGAAUUUGGCGGUGUUUUAGUCUUUUCAGAGGAAUCUGUCCUGUAAUCGAUAACACACGUUAUAAUCGACUUAAUUUUGUUCUCAGUUUAUAUACCGCCGUCGUAAGAUUAUUUUUUUAGAAAGAUAAUUUUCUUAAUGUUUAAUUAAAAUCUAUGUCAGGUCAGGGUGCAGCUUAUGAUUAAGUAAGAGAUGGAUUACAAUAAAAAAAUUUAAAUGGAUCUUGCAUUGAGAAGUGCAAUUGAAGGUGGAUUUGAAGGUAAUGUUGUUAUAUUAUGAUAAUGUGAUUGUAGCUCUAAAACAUGCACACAUCGCCCGUCGCCCUCAUUACUAAGGUGAGAUAAGUCGUAACAUAGUAGAUGUACUGGAAAGUGUAUCUAGAAUGCAAAAU
rnacentral:ncRNA from 1 species